UACAGAGGGUGCGAGCGUUAAUCGGAAUUACUGGGCGUAAAGCGUGCGUAGACGGUUAUUUAAGUCGGAUGUGAAAGCCCCGGGCUCAACCUGGGAAUUGCAUUCGAGACUGAAUAGCUAGGGUACGGUAGAGGGAAGUGGAAUUUCCGGUGUAGCGGUGAAAUGCGUAGAUAUCGGAAGGAACAUCAGUGGCGAAAGCGACUUCCUGGACCAGUACCGACGUUCAGGCACGAAAGCGUGGAGAGCAAACAGG
rnacentral:rRNA from 1 species